rnacentral:rRNA from 1 species
GACGAAGGAUGCAAGCGUUAUCCGGAUUUAUUGGGUUUAAAGGGUGCGUAGGCGGUCUAUUAAGUCAGUGGUGAAAUACUCCAGCUUAACUGGAGGGGUGCCAUUGAUACUGAUGGACUUGAGUCAAGUCGAGGUAGGCGGAAUUGACGGUGUAGCGGUGAAAUGCUUAGAUAUCGUCAAGAACACCAAUAGUGAAGACAGCUUACUGGGCUUAAACUGACGCUGAGGCACGAAAGUGUGGGGAUCAAACAGG